rnacentral:rRNA from 1 species
CACGUAGGGCGCAAGCGUUGUCCGGAAUUAUUGGGCGUAAAGAGCUCGUAGGCGGUCUGUUGCGUCCGCUGUGAAAACUCGGGGCUUAACCCCGAGCCUGCAGUGGAUACGGGCAGACUAGAGGUAGGUAGGGGAGAAUGGAAUUCCCGGUGUAGCGGUGAAAUGCGCAGAUAUCGGGAGGAACACCGGUGGCGAAGGCAGCUCGCUGGGACGGUACUGACGCUGAGACACGAAAGCGUGGGUAGCAAACAGG